rnacentral:rRNA from 1 species
GACGAAGGUGGCAAGCGUUGCUCGGAAUCACUGGGCAUAAAGCGCGCGUAGGUGGCUUGAUAAGUCGGUGGUGAAAUCCCAUGGCUCAACCAUGGAACUGCCGUCGAUACUGUCAGGCUUGAGGGCGGUAGGGGAGAGUGGAACUCCUGGUGUAGCGGUGAAAUGCGUAGAUAUCAGGAGGAACGCCGGUGGCGAAAGCGACUCUCUGGGCCGGUACUGACGCUGAGGUGCGAAAGCGUGGGGAGCAAACAGG